GAGUUUGAUCGUGGCUCAGAUUGAACGCUGGCGGCGUGCCUAACACAUGCAAGUCGAGCGGUAACAGGUGUAGCAAUACAUGCUGACGAGCGGCGAACGGGUGAGUAAUGCUUCGGAAUCUGCCCAAUGGUGGGGAAUAACCAGCCGAAAGGUUGGCUAAUUCCGCAUAAGUCCUACGGGAGAAAGCAGGGGAUCGCAAGACCUUGCGCCGAUGGAUGAGCCGAAGUCGGAUUAGCUAGUUGGUAGGGUAACGGCCUACCAAGGCGACGAUCCGUAGCUGGUCUGAGAGGACGACCAGCCACACUGGGACUGAGACACGGCCCAGACUCCUACGGGAGGCAGCAGUGGGGAAUAUUGGACAAUGGGGGCAACCCUGAUCCAGCGACGCCGCGUGUGUGAAGAAGGCCUGCGGGUUGUAAAGCACUUUUAGUGGGGAUGAAAAGCCUGGGGCUAAUACCUCCGGGUCUUGACCUAACCCACAGAAAAGCACCGGCUAACUCUGUGCCAGCCGCCGCCGUAAG
rnacentral:rRNA from 1 species